rnacentral:rRNA from 1 species
AUUGAACGCUGGCGGCAGGCCUAACACAUGCAAGUCGAGCGAGCGGCGGACGGGUGAGUAAUGUCUGGGAAACUGCCUGAUGGAGGGGGAUAACUACUGGAAACGGUAGCUAAUACCGCAUACCAUCAGAUGUGCCCAGAUGGGAUUAGCUCGUAGGUGGGGUAAUGGCUCACCUAGGCGACGAUCCCUAGCUGGUCUGAGAGGUUGACCAGCCACACUGGAACUGGGCACCGGUCCAGAUUCCUAGGGGAGGAAGCAGAGGGGAAUAUUGCACAAUGGGGGCAAGCCUGAUGCAGCACUGCCGCGUGUGUGAAGAGGGCCUUCGGGUUGUAAGGCACUUUCGGCGGGGAGGCGUUACGCGCAGAAGAAGCACCGGCUAACUCCGUGCCAGCAGCCGCGGUAAUAC